UUAAGCGACUAAGCGUACACGGUGGAUGCCCUGGCAGUCAGAGGCGAUGAAGGGCGUGCUAAUCUGCGAUAAGCGCCGGUAAGGUGAUAUGAACCGUUAUAACCGGCGAUACCCGAAUGGGGAAACCCAGUGUGACUCGUCACACUAUCAUUAACUGAAUCCAUAGGUUAAUGAGGCGAACCGGGGGAACUGAAACAUCUAAGUACCCCGAGGAAAAGAAAUCAACCGAGAUUCCCCCAGUAGCGGCGAGCGAACGGGGAGGAGCCCAGAGCCUGAAUCAGCAUGUGUGUUAGUGGAAGCGUCUGGAAAGGCGCGCGAUACAGGGUGACAGCCCCGUACACAAAAGCGCAUGUGCUGUGAGCUCGAUGAGUAGGGCGGGACACGUGGUAUCCUGUCUGAAUAUGGGGGGACCAUCCUCCAAGGCUAAAUACUCCUGACUGACCGAUAGUGAACCAGUACCGUGAGGGAAAGGCGAAAAGAACCCCGGCGAGGGGAGUGAAAAAGAACCUGAAACCGUGUACGUACAAGCAGUGGGAGCACAGGUUUACCUGUGUGACUGCGUACCUUUUGUAUAAUGGGUCAGCGACUUAUAUUCUGUAGCAAGGUUAACCGAAUAGGGGAGCCGGAGGGAAACCGAGUCUUAAUUGGGCGUUAAGUUGCAGGGUAUAGACCCGAAACCCGGUGAUCUAGCCAUGGGCAGGUUGAAGGUUGGGUAACACUAACUGGAGGACCGAACCGACUAAUGUUGAAAAAUUAGCGGAUGACCUGUGGCUGGGGGUGAAAGGCCAAUCAAACCGGGAGAUAGCUGGUUCUCCCCGAAAGCUAUUUAGGUAGCGCCUCGUGAAUUCAUCUCCGGGGGUAGAGCACUGUUUCGGCUAGGGGGCCAUCCCGGCUUACCAACCCGAUGCAAACUGCGAAUACCGGAGAAUGUUAUCACGGGAGACACACGGCGGGUGCUAACGUCCGUCGUGAAGAGGGAAACAACCCAGACCGCCAGCUAAGGUCCCAAAGUCAUGGUUAAGUGGGAAACGAUGUGGGAAGGCCCAGACAGCCAGGAUGUUGGCUUAGAAGCAGCCAUCAUUUAAAGAAAGCGUAAUAGCUCACUGGUCGAGUCGGCCUGCGCGGAAGAUGUAACGGGGCUAAACCAUGCACCGAAGCUGCGGCAGCGACACUGUGUGUUGUUGGGUAGGGGAGCGUUCUGUAAGCCUGUGAAGGUGGCCUGUGAGGGUUGCUGGAGGUAUCAGAAGUGCGAAUGCUGACAUAAGUAACGAUAAAGCGGGUGAAAAGCCCGCUCGCCGGAAGACCAAGGGUUCCUGUCCAACGUUAAUCGGGGCAGGGUGAGUCGACCCCUAAGGCGAGGCCGAAAGGCGUAGUCGAUGGGAAACGGGUUAAUAUUCCCGUACUUGGUGUUACUGCGAAGGGGGGACGGAGAAGGCUAUGUUGGCCGGGCGACGGUUGUCCCGGUUUAAGCGUGUAGGCUGGUUUUCCAGGCAAAUCCGGAAAAUCAAGGCUGAGGCGUGAUGACGAGGCACUACGGUGCUGAAGCAACAAAUGCCCUGCUUCCAGGAAAAGCCUCUAAGCAUCAGGUAACAUCAAAUCGUACCCCAAACCGACACAGGUGGUCAGGUAGAGAAUACCAAGGCGCUUGAGAGAACUCGGGUGAAGGAACUAGGCAAAAUGGUGCCGUAACUUCGGGAGAAGGCACGCUGACACGUAGGUGAAGUGAUUUACUCAUGGAGCUGAAGUCAGUCGAAGAUACCAGCUGGCUGCAACUGUUUAUUAAAAACACAGCACUGUGCAAACACGAAAGUGGACGUAUACGGUGUGACGCCUGCCCGGUGCCGGAAGGUUAAUUGAUGGGGUCAGCGCAAGCGAAGCUCCUGAUCGAAGCCCCGGUAAACGGCGGCCGUAACUAUAACGGUCCUAAGGUAGCGAAAUUCCUUGUCGGGUAAGUUCCGACCUGCACGAAUGGCGUAAUGAUGGCCAGGCUGUCUCCACCCGAGACUCAGUGAAAUUGAACUCGCUGUGAAGAUGCAGUGUACCCGCGGCAAGACGGAAAGACCCCGUGAACCUUUACUAUAGCUUGACACUGAACAUUGAGCCUUGAUGUGUAGGAUAGGUGGGAGGCUUUGAAGCGUGGACGCCAGUCUGCGUGGAGCCGGCCUUGAAAUACCACCCUUUAAUGUUUGAUGUUCUAACGUGGACCCGUUACCCGGGUUGCGGACAGUGUCUGGUGGGUAGUUUGACUGGGGCGGUCUCCUCCUAAAGAGUAACGGAGGAGCACGAAGGUUGGCUAAUCCUGGUCGGACAUCAGGAGGUUAGUGCAAUGGCAUAAGCCAGCUUGACUGCGAGCGUGACGGCGCGAGCAGGUGCGAAAGCAGGUCAUAGUGAUCCGGUGGUUCUGAAUGGAAGGGCCAUCGCUCAACGGAUAAAAGGUACUCCGGGGAUAACAGGCUGAUACCGCCCAAGAGUUCAUAUCGACGGCGGUGUUUGGCACCUCGAUGUCGGCUCAUCACAUCCUGGGGCUGAAGUAGGUCCCAAGGGUAUGGCUGUUCGCCAUUUAAAGUGGUACGCGAGCUGGGUUUAGAACGUCGUGAGACAGUUCGGUCCCUAUCUGCCGUGGGCGCUGGAGAACUGAGGGGGGCUGCUCCUAGUACGAGAGGACCGGAGUGGACGCAUCACUGGUGUUCGGGUUGUCAUGCCAAUGGCACUGCCCGGUAGCUAAAUGCGGAAGAGAUAAGUGCUGAAAGCAUCUAAGCACGAAACUUGCCCCGAGAUGAGUUCUCCCUGAGACUUUAAGUCUCCUGAAGGAACGUUGAAGACGACGACGUUGAUAGGCCGGGUGUGUAAGCGCAGCGAUGCGUUGAGCUAACCGGUACUAAUGAACCGUGAGGCUUAACCUU
rnacentral:rRNA from 1 species